rnacentral:rRNA from 1 species
GAUGAACGCUGGCGGCGUGCCUAAUACAUGCAAGUCGAGCGAACAGACGAGGAGCUUGCUCCUCUGACGUUAGCGGCGGACGGGUGAGUAACACGUGGAUAACCUACCUAUAAGACUGGGAUAACUUCGGGAAACCGGAGCUAAUACCGGAUAACAUGUUGAACCGCAUGGUUCAACAGUGAAAGACGGUCUUGCUGUCACUUAUAGAUGGAUCCGCGCCGCAUUAGCUAGUUGGUAAGGUAACGGCUUACCAAGGCAACGAUGCGUAGCCGACCUGAGAGGGUGAUCGGCCACACUGGAACUGAGACACGGUCCAGACUCCUACGGGAGGCAGCAGUAGGGAAUCUUCCGCAAUGGGCGAAAGCCUGACAGAGCAACGCCGCGUGAGUGAAGAAGGUCUUCGGAUCGUAAAACUCUGUUAUUAGGGAAGAACAAAUGUGUAAGUAACUAUGCACGUCUUGACGGUACCUAAUCAGAAAGCCACGGCUAACUACGUG